rnacentral:rRNA from 1 species
GGCGACGGGUGAGUAACACGUGGGCAAUCUGCCCUGCACUCUGGGACAAGCCCUGGAAACGGGGUCUAAUACCGGAUACGAGCCUCCUGGGCAUCUGGGAGGUUGGAAAGCUCCGGCGGUGCAGGAUGAGCCCGCGGCCUAUCAGCUUGUUGGUGAGGUAACGGCUCACCAAGGCGACGACGGGUAGCCGGCCUGAGAGGGCGACCGGCCACACUGGGACUGAGACACGGCCCAGACUCCUACGGGAGGCAGCAGUGGGGAAUAUUGCACAAUGGGCGCAAGCCUGAUGCAGCGACGCCGCGUGAGGGAUGACGGCCUUCGGGUUGUAAACCUCUUUCAGCAGGGAAGAAGCGAGAGUGACGGUACCUGCAGAAGAAGCGCCGGCUAACUACGUGCCAGCAGCCGCGGUAAUACGUAGGGCGCAAGCGUUGUCCGGAAUUAUUGGGCGUAAAGAGCUCGUAGGCGGCUUGUCGCGUCGAUUGUGAAAGCCCGGGGCUUAACUCCGGGUCUGCAGUCGAUACGGGCAGGCUAGAGUGUGGUAGGGGAGAUCGGAAUUCCUGGUGUAGCGGUGAAAUGCGCAGAUAUCAGGAGGAACACCGGUGGCGAAGGCGGAUCUCUGGGCCAUUACUGACGCUGAGGAGCGAAAGCGUGGGGAGCGAACAGGAUUAGAUACCCUGGUAGUCCACGCCGUAAACGGUGGGCACUAGGUGUUGGCGACAUUCCACGUCGUCGGUGCCGCAGCUAACGCAUUAAGUGCCCCGCCUGGGGAGUACGGCCGCAAGGCUAAACUCAAGGAUUGACGGGGGCCCGCACAAGCGCGGAGCAUGUGGCUUUAUUUCGACGCAACGCGAGAUCUUUACCUAAGGCUUGGACAUACACCGGAAACAUUCAGAGAUGGCUGCC